GGUACUCCUUAUAAUAAAAUGGCUGCAAAUCUUGGCAACAAUGGAGAUGAUUAUGGCGUUUACAUUUGGUGCUUUGAUUCAUGCUAAUAUUUUGAUUCAUGCUAAUAUUAAGAAACAUCAAGUGAACAAGCUUUAAAGAUUCAUCAGAUCUGAGAGUGUAGAAUUAUGGAAAAUUUUACACUUACAUGGGGUAAAAAUAACUAAAAAACACACACCAACCAACAAAAAAAGGCACAUCAACAGCUUUCUUCUUGGUCAUAGCAUCCAUAGAUGAAGAAAAGGUUUUCAUCUCUUACUAUAUCUUAUAAAUCCUUCGUUCUUGGUCUUUGAUUUUGGCGUCUCUCUUCAUCGGAGAUUAGAAGAGAAACCACAUCAAGAAAAUAAAUAAGAGAUAAUGUCUGAUGAGCAUUCUGUGAAAGAGAAACGAAAACGAUGACUUGAUGAGGGUGAAGUUGGAGAGAGAAUAAAAAGAAAGUUGCUUCCUUUCAGUUUUGUUUUUCUAAUUCACUCAUUUAUUCAUUUUUCUAUGUGUCACAAAGUAUUAAAGUGUUCUAUUUUAUACUUUCGAUUGGUAUCAUAUUUCAUUUUUUCAUGGUGCGUCGUUAUGUACAAUUUUGU
rnacentral:sRNA from 1 species